GAUGAAGAACGUAGCGAAAUGCGAUUAGUAAUGUGAAUUGCAGAAUUCAGUGAAUCAUCGAAUCUUUGAACGCACAUUGCGCCCCCUGGUAUUCCGGGGGGCAUGCCUGUUCGAGCGUCAUUACAACCCUCAAGCUCUGCUUGGUAUUGGGCCCCGCCAGUUCUGGCGGGCCCUAAAGUCAGUGGCGGUGCCUUCCGGCUCCGAGCGUAGUAAUUCUUCUCGCUCUGGAGACCCGGUUGUGUGCUUGCCAACAACCCCCAAUUUUUUAAGGUUGACCUCGGAUCAGGUAGGGAUACCCGCUGAACUUAAGCAUAUCAAUAAGCGGAGGA
rnacentral:misc_RNA from 1 species